rnacentral:rRNA from 1 species
UACGGAGGGUGCGAGCGUUAUUCGGAAUUACUGGGCGUAAAGGGCGUGUAGGCGGCUUUGUAAGUCAGAUGUGAAAGCCCACGGCUUAACCGUGGAACUGCAUUUGAAACUGCUUGGCUAGAGUACGGGAGGGGGUGGCGGAAUUCCCGGUGUAGGAGUGAAAUCCGUAGAUAUCGGGAGGAACACCGGCGGCGAAGGCGGCCACCUGGACCGUAACUGACGCUGAGACGCGAAAGCGUGGGGAGCAAACAGGAUUAGAUACCCCCGUAGUCC